UUUAAUAAAAUUUAAUUUUAGUCUCACCCCAGUUAAACUGGCUUCUAUCCAAAAGACUGGCAACAACAAAUGCUGGUGGAGAAAAGGAAGCCCUAAGACAUUGUUGUGGGAAUGUAAACUAGUACAACCACUAUGGAGAACAGUUUAGAGGUUCCUCAAAAAAACUAAAAUACAGCUACCAAAUGAUCCAGCAAUCCCACUGCUGGGUAUACACCCCAAAGAAAGUAAAUCAGUAUACUGAAGCGAUAUCUAGACUCUUGUGUUUGCUGCAGCACUGUUCACAAUAGCCAAGAUUUGGAAGUAACCUAAGUAUUCAUCAGCAGUGAAUGGAUAAAGAAACUGUG